GUCCCUUCCAACUCUACAAUUCUAUGAUCCUAUGAUUCAUAGAAUCAUAAAAUCACAGAAUUGUAGAGUUGGGAUCGUC